CCUACGGGGGGCAGCAGUAGGGAAUUUUCCACAAUGGGCGAAAGCCUGAUGGAGCAACGCCGCGUGCAGGAUGAAGGCCUUAGGGUUGUAAACUGCUUUUCUUGAGGAUGAUUAUGACAGUACUUAAGGAAUAAGGGUCGGCAAACUCCGUGCCAGCAGCCGCGGUCAUACGGAGAACCCAAGCGUUACCCGGAAUUACUGGGCGUAAAGAGUUGCGUAGGUGGCUUAUCAAGUUUUUGUUAAAAGGCAGAAGCUCAACUUCUGUUUCGGCAAAAAAACUGGCAAGCUAGAGGAUGGUAGAGGCGAGUGGAAUUUCUGGUGUAGGAGUGAAAUCCGUAGAUAUCAGAAGGAACACCAAUGGCGUAGGCAGCUCGCUGGGCCAUUCCUGACACUAAGGCACGAAAGCGUGGGGAGCGAACCGGAUUAGAUACCCUAGUAGU
rnacentral:rRNA from 1 species